AGAAGGGAGGCACUUGAGAAAUGUCUUUCCUCCAGGACCCAAGUUUCUUCACCAUGGGGAUGUGGUCCAUUGGUGCAGGAGCCCUGGGGGCUGCUGCCUUGGCAUUGCUGCUUGCCAACACAGACGUGUUUCUGUCCAAGCCCCAGAAAGCGGCCCUGGAGUACCUGGAGGAUAUAGACCUGAAAACACUGGAGAAGGAACCAAGGACUUUGAAAGCAAAGGAGCUAUGGGAAAAAAAAUGGAGCUGUGAUUAUGGCCGUGCGGAGGCCAGGCUGUUUCCUCUGUCGAGAGGAAGCUGCAGAUCUGUCCUCCCUGAAAAGCAUGUUGGACCAGCUGGGCAUCCCCCUCUAUGCAGUGGUAAAGGAGCACAUCAAGACCGAAGUGAAGGAUUUCCAGCCUUAUUUCAAAGGAGAAAUCUUCCUGGAUGCAAAGAAAAAGUUCUAUGAUCCACAAAGGCAGAAGCUGAUGUUUAUGGGAUUUAUCCGUCUGGGAGUGUGGUACAACUUCUUCCGAGCCUGGAAUGGAGGCUUCUCUGGAAACCUGGAAGGAGAAGGCUUCAUCCUUGGGGGAGUUUGCGUGGUGGGAUCAGGAAAGCAGGGCAUUCUUCUCGAGCACCGAGAAAAAUAAUUUGGAGACAAAGUAAACCUACUUUCUGUUCUGGAAGCUGCUAAGACGAUCAAACCACAGACUUUGGCCUCAGAGAAAAAAUGAUCGUGUGAAACUGCCCAGAUCAGGGAUAACCAGGGGCAUUCACCUGUGUUCAUGGGAUGUAUUGUUUCCACUUGUGCCCCUAAGGAGUGAGAAACCCAUUUAUACUCUACUCUCAGUAUGGAUUAUUAAUGUAUUUUAAUAUUCUGUUUAGGCCCAGUAAGGCAAAAUAGCCCCAAAACAAGACUGACAAAAAUCUGAAAAACUAAUGAAGAUUAUUAAGCUAAAACCUGGGAAAUAGGAGGCUUAAAAUUGACUGCCAGGCUGGGUGCGGUGGCUCACACCUGUAAUCCCAGCACCUUGGGAGGCCGAGGUGAGCAAGUCACUUGAGGUCGGGAGUUCAAGACCAGCCUGAGCAACAUGGCGAAACCCUGUCUCUA